AUACGUAGGUGGCAAGCGUUGUCCGGAAUUAUUGGGCGUAAAGCGCAUGUAGGCGGUGCCUUAAGUCUGUCGUGAAACUGCGGGGCCUAACCCCGUAUGGCGAUGGAAACUGGGGCACUUGAGUGCAGGAGAGGAAAGGGGAACUCCCAGUGUAGCGGUGAAAUGCGUAGAUAUUGGGAAGAACACCGGUGGCGAAGGCGCCUUUCUGGACUGUGUCUGACGCUGAGAUGCGAAAGCCAGGGUAGCGAACGGGAUUAGAUACCCCGGUAGUCCUGGCCGUAAACGAUGGGUACUAGGUGUGGGAGGUAUCGACCCCUUCCGUGCCGGAGUUAACGCAAUAAGUACCCCGCCUGGGGAGUACGGCCGCAAGGCUUAAACUCAAAGGAAUUGACGGGG
rnacentral:rRNA from 1 species